UCAUGGGCUACACCCCCUAACACCUCAUGGGGUGUUUGUUGUUCCAAAGCCAGCUGGAAGAUAUAAUCCCCCAGAGAUGUCUUGGGUCUUCCCCGGGGCGUGUUCCCAGUUGGACUUGCCAGGAAGACGUUCCUGGGGAGACGACCAGGGGGCAUCUUCACCAGAUGCCCAAACCACCUCAGCGAGCUCCUUUCGAUGUGAAGGAGCAUCGAAUUCCUCACAGAUAUUUAAACUUCACCUUGUCUAUGAGCGCAAGCCCAGAUACCCUGCGGAAGAACUUCACACAAAGCUAAUUUUGCUGCAAACACAAAGGUGGUUGUUCCCUCCGCAAAGCAGCGCCGAGCUCACAGCUGUGAGAAGUAAAAUGUUUUUGGCACUUUUCAAGGACUUCAUCAUAAGAUAUUACUUUAGCGUUUAGUUGACCAAUCACUGUUUGCAGCGUGGCCUUCGCUAGAUACCAUAUUUUAAUUUCCAGAGUAUACAAUGGGGAAAAA